AUACGGAGGGUGCGAACGUUAAUCGGAAUUACUGGGCGUAAAGCGCGCGUAGGCGGUUCGACAAGUGGGAUGUGAAAGCCCAGGGCUUAACCUUGGAACUGCAUUCCAAACUGUCGGACUAGAGUAUGGUAGAGGGAGGUAGAAUUUCCUGUGUAGCGGUGAAAUGCGUAGAUAUAGGAAGGAAUACCGGUGGCGAAGGCGGCCUCCUGGACCAAUACUGACGCUGAGGUGCGAAAGCGUGGGGAGCAAACAGGAUUAGAUACCCCAGUAGUCC
rnacentral:rRNA from 1 species